ensembl:lncRNA
UUCCCCGGCGGGGGGUGGGCCACGCCCCCUUCGUUUGCAUGUGGCGCGGGAAAGAGAGGAGGGAGAACGCAGGGGAUGAUGGGGCGGAUAGGGGCUAUGGGGUACAGGGCUCUGUAGGGGCUGUGAGGCCCUAUAGGGGUUACAGGGCUGUAUAGGGCACUAUAGGGCUCUAUAGGGUGCUGUGGGGCUCUAUGGGAUGCUAUGGGGAUCCUAUAUGGGUUAUAGGACACCAUAGGGCACUGCUGGACUCUAUAGGUUGCUAUGAGGGCUACGGAGCUGUAGAGGGCGCUGUGGGGCUCUAUGGGAUGCUAUAGGGGCUGUAAGGAUCCUAUACGGGCUAUAAGACACUAUAAGGUACUAUGGAGCUCUAUAGGGUGCUGUGGAGUUCUAUAGGUUGCUAUGAGGGCUGUGGGGCUCUAUAGGAUGCAACGGAAAUGCCUUAAAACCCCAAAUUUCACCCCCAAAACCCCAAAUUCCACCCCAAAAUCCCCGAAAUUCCCCCCAAAGCCUCCAAAACCCCUCCCAAAUACCCCCAAUUCCACCCCAAAAAUGCCUCCAAACCCCCAAUUUCACCCCCCAAACCCCCAAUUCCACCCCUAAAAUUGCCAUGGAUCCCCAAACCCCCCAAAAUCCCAAAUUUCACCCCCAAAAAUGCCACCCAAAUCCUCCAAUUCCACCUCAAAACCCCAAAUUUCACCCCCAAAUCCUCCAAUUCCACCCCAAAAAUCCCAUCUCCCCCCCACCCCACCCAAUGGAACAACGUUGGAUUUUGGGGUCAAAACCCCCCCAAAAAGGGACCCGGAACGUCGUGCCAAAACCCACCACUUUCCCCCACCGCCACAGACCCCAAAAGGAGCCGAAAUGGACCCAAAAAGGGCGGCGCUAUUUACAAUUUAUUACAACUCCAAAAAGCCAAAAUCCGCUUCAAGCUUUGCCAAAGGAAAAAGAAAAAAAAAACACCGAAAAAAAACAAAAAACGCCGAUUUUGGGGUUUUUUUUUGUGUGUAAAAAUGGGGAUAUUUUACAAAAAAGCGCAACUUUUGUACAGGCGGAGGGGAGGAGCGCACCCAAAAGUGCCAUUUUUUGGCCCAAUUUCACCUUUUUAAACACUUUUUUAUGGGGGGGGGGGGGGGAUGCGGGGGUUGGACAGGAGCCGUUUUGGCCCAAAUUGCCCAAAAUUGGUGGAAUUUCACCCGGUUUUGCUGGUGGGUGGGAGAGCGGAAGCCGUCGGUUCCUGGCAGUGAUGGCCAUUUGGGGGGCAUUUUGGGGGCGUUGUGGGGCAUUUCGGGGGGCCUUUUUGGGGCGUUCUGGGGUAUUUUGGAGCAUUUGGGGGGCACUUUGGGGCCAUUUUAGAGUAAUCUGGGGGCAUUUGGGGCCAUUCUGGGGAAUUUUGGGACCAUUCUGGGGCAAUUUGAGGCCAUUUGGGGCCAUUCUGGGGUAUUUUGGGGGCAUUGUGGGGGAAUUUUGGGACCAUUUGGGGGCCAUUUUGGGCAUUUGGGGCCAUUCUGGGGUAUUUCGGGGCCACUGGGGGCAUUUUGUGGUAUUUUGGGGCCAUGUGGGGGCAUUUGGGGGGAAUUCUGGGGAACGUGGGGGCAUUUGGGCCAUUUUGGGGAAUUUGGGGUGCGUUUUGGGGGGCAUUCAGGGGGUUUUUGGGGCCAUUUUGGGUUAUUUCCCCACCUUUUGGGGUUAUUUCCUCCCAUUUUGGGUCAUUUCCCCCACAAUCUGUGUUUUUCCCCCCACAUUUUGGGUUAUUCUCCCAACUUUUUGUGUUAGUUCCCCCCCAUUUGGGGUCAUCUCCCCCCAUUUUGGCCUCAUUUCCCCCUUUUGCUCUUCCACCCCUCUCUCCCACACUCCCCACCAUCCACCACCAUUCCCCCCACGCCCCACACAAACCCCUCCUCCUCACCCCAACCCCCCUCACCCCCCAUCCCCACCACCCCACGCUCUCCUUCAUCCCACCCCCCCCUUCCCCCCCCUCUUUCAGCCUCACCCCCAAC